UUAUUGUUUUCAACAUUUCCUUCAAAGCUUUGAGAAAAAUAUUUGAUUCGAUUCGUAUCGCAUUCAUCGUUUCGAUCUUCACAAAUUCAUAUUUUUUCUUAUAAUCCUCUUAGUUGAUAUUAGGGUUUCCAGUUGUCUGCCCUGAACUCAUUCUCUAUCGCUUCCUCUGACAUUGUUUUCGAGGUUAGGGUUUUCAUGUCCGUACGGUUCUAGAUAUAGCAGUCAUAUUGGUGUAUAAGUUUAGGAGCUGCCCUAACUAGUUUCUGAACAGUGGUGAUUGAUUUUUUUGUUGUUCUAAUUUUUUUUGUUGAUUUUUAUUUUUUGAUUUUUAGCUGGUGAGUUACAUGAUGUUUUAAUGAGAAGUAAGGUCUGUGAAGUUAUUUCACCUUGAAUUGAGAUAUUGAAAUUGAUAUUUUUUUUUGGAUCCAAUCCAAGAAGUUUUAUUAUUAUUAUUUUUAUUUUUUGAAAACCUUGUUGGGUUGAUUUAUAGGCUUGAGCUUUUGUGUACUGUAUAAUGAUAAGGAGGUGACAGUGUAGAAAGGUCGUUGCUUGGAGGGUAUUUCUGGAUAUGUUUUUUGAUCUGGGGUCUGCAAGUUUGCAUCAGGUAUGGAUUCUGCACGGGAAGCUGGUGGUGGGGUAGCAGGCCCAGUGCUAAUGCGAUUUGUGUGGCCUUAUGGGGGAAAGAAUGUAUUUCUCAGUGGUUCUUUCAAUAGGUGGUCCGAGAUUGUCCCAAUGUCUCCUGUGGAAGGUUGCCCUGCUGUAUUUCAGGCCAUUUGCAGCGUUACUCCUGGUUACCACCAGUUCAAAUUCCAUGUUGAUGGGGAGUGGCGACAUGAUGAGCGCCAAUCUUGCAUGAUUAGCGAAUAUGGAAUGGCAAACACUGUCCUUGUUGCUGUGGAUCCUAAUUACAGUCCCACAAUAACCUCAGAGAUGCCUACUGGAUCAAAUAUGGAUUGGGAUAAUGAGGAUUUCCGGCGCAUGGUCCGUAUGUCAGAUGGUAUGUUAACUGGGGCAGUGCCAAGUAUAUCAGUGUCUGAGUUACAGGUCUCCCGUCACCGAGUAUCUGUGUUUUUGUCUACACAUACCGUAUAUGAGUUACUACCUGAGUCAGGCAAGGUCAUUGUGUUGGACAUCAAUUUACCUGUAAAGCAAGCGUUUCAUACUUUGCAUGAGCAGGGUGUUUCUAUGGCUCCUCUGUGGGAUGAGGGCACUGGCCAAUUUGUUGGAGUUCUCAGUGCAUCAGAUUUUAUAUUAAUUUUAAGAGAGCUUGAGACUCAUGGGUCAAAUUUGACUGAGGAAGAACUUGAUACACACACCAUAUCUGCUUGGAAAGAGGGAAAAGCGUAUUUGAAUAGGCAAAUUGAUGGGCAUGGCAGACCGUUUUCAAGACAUCUUAUUCAUGCUGGGCCAUAUGACAAUUUGAAAGAUGUUGCUUUGAAAAUAUUGCAAAAUGAGGUGGCUACUGUCCCCAUCAUCAAUUCUUCUUCAGAAGAUGGUUCACUUCCCCAGCUACUACAUCUCGCUUCACUACCUGGCAUAUUAAAAUGUAUUUGCAGGUACUUUAGAAACUGUACUGGCACUCUGCCUGUAAUUCAAUUGCCGAUUUGUGCGAUUCCUGUGGGUACAUGGGUUCCAAGAAUCGGAGAAUCUCAUAGACGGCCAUUAGCUACGUUGAAACCUAGCGCUUCUCUUAGUUCAGCUUUAAAUUUGUUAAUUCAAGCUCAAGUAAGCUCUAUACCUAUAGUUGAUGAAAAUGACUCCUUGUUGGAUAUAUAUUGUCGAACUGAUAUAACAGCUUUGGCGAAAGAUAAAGUUUACACACAUAUUAAUCUUAAUGAAAUGACUAUUCAUCAGGAAAAAGAUGGAGAUCUCAUUUGAAGGGUAUGGUGUGGAGGAGUUCAGUGCUUUGGAAGUUUGUAGGGAAAGGUGUUAAGAGAGACUUAAAAAGGAAAUAUAUGGUGGGUAGGAGGUGUGCUGGAUUUCGCCUGCAUGAGUCUGUCAAUGAACUGAUGAGAGAAGUGUGUUUUCUAGUAGGCUUGCGAGACUAGUAUCAUUUGGUGAAAUGAUAGAGUAGUUCUAGUUAGAAAAACAGGGGUUCUGAUGGCUUAACAAUUGGCGAUAACAAGAUUGUUUUUGUUUUUCGUUUUUCGUUUGACUUUCCUUAGAGGAUGUUUGGUGGGUGGGGGGCUGUGCAUAAGGUGUUUCAGACCCCUGCUCUGAGGACAAGAUGGUGAGGAGCCAAUCACUGAAGCAGUGGUGGUCCUCAUGGUGUACUAAUUGUGCCAAAAGGUUGAAGAAGUGUACAAAUUUAUUGGCAAAAUUUGAAUUUGAUAAAUUCAUACUUGAUGGCCUAAAUGGUGCAAGCUCAACAUUUAAAGUGCACGCACUUGGUGGCACUUCAACUGGGACAAGAUUCACAUACUCUUUACGAACUGAGAAACCAAAGGUGUCAAAUGUGCUUGCGCUCUGAUUCGCUUCAUAAAGUGAUGGAGCGAUUGGCGAGUCCAG